rnacentral:rRNA from 1 species
AUUGAACGCUGGCGGCAUGCUUUACACAUGCCAGUCGAACGGCAGCGCGGGCUUCGGCCUGGCGGCGAGUGGCGAACGGGUGAGUAAUGCAUCGGAACGUGCCCAGUAGUGGGGGAUAGCCCGGCGACAGCCGGAUUAAUACCGCAUACGACCUGAGGGUGAAAGCGGGGGACCGAAAGGCCUCGCGCUAUUGGAGCGGCCGAUGUCGGAUUAGCUAGUUGGUGGGGUAAAGGCUUACCAAGGCGACGAUCCGUAGCUGGUCUGAGAGGACGACCAGCCACACUGGGACUGAGACACGGCCCAGACUCCUACGGGAGGCAGCAGUGGGGAAUUUUGGACAAUGGGGGCAACCCUGAUCCAGCCAUGCCGCGUGCGGGAAGAAGGCCUUCGGGUUGUAAACCGCUUUUGUUCGGGAAGAAAUCCUGUGGGCUAAUACCCCGGGGGGAUGACGGUACCGGAAGAAUAAGCACCGGCUAACUACGUG